CUCCCCUUUCCCUUUGGUCACAACUUGGAGUUCGCCUGAUCUCAUGGUCGCCAUGCCGUCGUCGUAGCCGCGACCACCGUGCGCCUCUUCGCCGGGGGAGACCUCCAGCAGAACCGUCGUCGUCCACUUCUUCAUCUCCACCCACGAGAUCGAGCCCGGAGCCACCGCAUCGACCGGAUGAGGUCUUCUUCAAGCUCUGCCCCGCCGCUCAUCAUCUUCGAUUUCGACCUCAUUGAAGCCUCCCCGAGCCGCUGACUUUCUCUACAGCUGCGAUACCCCGAGAUUGUCGGCGACCCCCAGUUCGACUACGGUGUUGACGAUCCUUCGUUUUUGCCAGAGCAACCAGGCAAGCCCCCCCCCCUUG
rnacentral:rRNA from 1 species